rnacentral:rRNA from 1 species
GGGCUUGACAUCCCACGAACCUGCCCGAAAAGGUGGGGUGCCCGCAAGGGAGCGUGGAGACAGGUGGUGCAUGGCUGUCGUCAGCUCGUGUCGUGAGAUGUUGGGUUAAGUCCCGCAACAAGCGCAACCCUCACCCCUAGUUGCCACCGGGUUAAGCCGAGCACUCAAGGGGAACUGCCAGCGUCAAGCUGGAGGAAGGCGGGGAUGACGUCAAGUCAUCAUGCCCCUUACGCCCUGGGCUACACACGUGCUACAAUGGCCAGCACAAAGGGACGCGAGACUGCGAAGUGGAGCUAAUCCCAAAAAGCUGGUCUAAGUUCAGAUUGCAGUCUGCAACUCGACUGCAUGAAGGAGGAAUCGCUAGUAAUCGCGUAUCAGCCCGGCGCGGUGAAUACGUUCCCGGGCCUUGUACACACCGCCCGUCACACCACGAAAGCUGUCUGUACUCGAAGUCGCUGAG